AUGCACAUGAUUUCAACACUACAAUAGCGGUCAUAAAUGUCUAAGUACAAAUUUUCAAAUGGUGAAACCUCGAAUGGCUCCUUAAAUCAGCUAUGGUUCCUUGGAGCCUGAGAAACGGCUACCACUUCCAAGGAAGGCUUCAGGCACGCAAAUCACCCAAUCCCGGCACGGGGAGGUAGUGACGAAAAAUACGGAUACGGGACUAAUUAGAUGCUCUAUAAUUCGAAUGAGUACAAUUUAGAUCCUUUAACGAGGAUCAACUGGAGGGCAAGUCUGGUGCCAGCAGCCGCGGUAACUCCUGCUCCAGAAGCAUUUAUUAAAGUUGUUGCAGUUAAAAAGCUCGUAGUUGGACCUGGCUGCACGCGUUGCUCGUAUUCCCGGCCUGGUUUACACCGGGACGGGUUUGUGAGUCAAUGUCGUGGUUGUGCAGCCUUUCUACCGUGUCUGCUUCGACAGGUGUUGGCAUGAUUGGUGAGUUCGUCUGAUGAGCAUGCUCAGCUGUUGAGCUUCAAGUGUAACCAUGUUCAAUUCCG
rnacentral:ncRNA from 1 species